AAUGCACCAAUUUGUAAGUCGCUCUGGAUAAGAGCGUCUUUUAAAUGACUAAAA
rfam:Salmo salar isolate Sally breed double haploid chromosome ssa27, whole genome shotgun sequence.